UACGUAGGCAGCAAACGUUGUUCGGAAUUACUGGGCGUAAAGAGUGUGUAGGCGGUUUCGCAAGUUUGGUGUGAAAUCUCCCGGCUUAACUGGGAUGGUGCGCCGAAAACUGCGAGGCUAGAGUGCUGGAGAGGAAAGCGGAAUUCCUGGUGUAGCGGUGAAAUGCGUAGAUAUCAGGAGGAACACCGGUGGUGUAGACGGCUUUCUGGACAGCUACUGACGCUGAGACACGAAAGCGUGGGGAGCAAACAGG
rnacentral:rRNA from 1 species